UACGUAGGGUGCGAGCGUUAAUCGGAAUUACUGGGCGUAAAGCGUGCGCAGGCGGUUUUGUAAGUCAGGUGUGAAAUCCCCGGGCUUAACCUGGGAAUGGCAUUUGGGACUGCAAGGCUUGAGUGCGGCAGAGGAGACUGGAAUUUCCGGUGUAGCAGUGAAAUGCGUAGAUAUCGGGAGGAAUACCGAUGGCGAAGGCAGGUCUCUGGGCUGACACUGACGCUCAUGCACGAAAGCGUGGGGAGCAAACAGG
rnacentral:rRNA from 1 species